UAUAUAACUGGCUCUUUGGGUUUGUCUACAGGAAAUUUUUCAGGUGAAAAAUUAAAUGGGCAAAAUUAUUUCUCUUGAUCCCAAUCAAUAAAGAUGUUCCUCGAAGGUCACCACCAGUUCGGCUUCUUAACUGGAGAGACUGUACCUCCUCCACCAGGAGAUGCCUUGGAACGACUCUAGAAAGGGGAUGACUCACUUAUUCGGUUUAUGCUGAUUAAUAGUAUGGAACCAUAGAUCGACAAGCCUUUACUAUAUGCAACCACAACAAAAGAUUUGUGGGAUACAACUCAGACUCUUUACUCGAAACGACAGAAUGCCUCUCGGUUGUAUACACUGCAAAAAUAGAUCCAUAAUUGCAAACAAGGGACCUUGGACGUGACUACCUAUUUUAACAAGCUCUUUCUCCUCUGGAAGAGAUGGAUUUGUGCAAAGAGAUAGUUUGGGACACACCAAAUGACAAUACACAAUAUGCUAAACUUGAAGAGGUUGACCGUGUUUAUGACUUCCUUACAAGACUUAAUCCCAAAUUUGAUACUAUUUGUGAUCGUAUACUCGGACAAAGGCCUCUUCCCUCCCUAAUAGAAGUUUGUUUUGAAGUCUGCCUGGAAGAGGAUCGCACUAAUGCCAUGGGUGUACUGACUACCCCUACCAUUAACUCUGCUGCCUUUAACGCUCGAUCCUCAAAUCAUGAUAGUGACAAGAAUAAUGGAAAGUCAAUCCCUGUGUGUGAACACUGCAAGAAACAAUGGCACACCAAGGAUCAGUGUUGGAAACUCCACGAUCGUCCCCCAGGAGGUAAUAGGAGGUAAGAAACGGUCCUCCAACAAGAAACAGAACUCAGGAUGUGCCUACAUUAGUGAGACUACCCUUGCCAGCACUUCUCAAUCAAUUGGUCCUACUGCGAGCCAAACCAAGACUCCGUCUCCGGGUGCCAUUGCUCAGUCAUGACAUGAGCUCGGGAAGGACGAUUGGCACUGCCCGGCACAACAGGAAACUUUACAUCCUUGAUGAUGAUACCUCCUGUAGUAGUUUGUCUAGGCUCCGAUCAUGUUCUUCAAACACAUUUUCAAGGUUGGCUGAUGGCUAUAAUGAGUUCCCAUUCUGUAAUGCUCUAUGAGAGAAGUGUGAUCAUGACACUCUUGAGUGGAUUUGCUGGAGUGCACACUGAGGCUAUAAUCAAGUAACGGCCUUCAAGGAAUGUAAAUGUACAAAAACUUCCGGUUAUAUGUGUUUGACAUGGCGUUCAAUGUUAUUGCCAUAAUGAUUCAAGAUUUUGAUGCAAUAGCGAACAAUGACAUUGCUGUAUCCAUGGUGUUGAAGUAUACGGAUAAUAUUGUGAAGGUAUUGCUUAUUACAACUACAAGGCCUUAAUUCAUUUGAUGAAUUUAUUUGUACCUUUAAGGUCUUACUACUUAAAGUUAUUAUAUUGCAGUCCUACUACAAUCAUCAUCAAAUGUGUAUAUGUUAUGUUGUGUAUGUCCUGUGUUGUUGAAGUGUGUUGUGUAUAUGUUGUGUUAUUGAAGUGUGUUGUUGAAGUGAAUGUGUUGUGUUGUUGAUACAUAGAGUAAUAGUCUAAAAUUUCUUUUAAUUUUCUUACUA